AGCUGUAAUGGCUCAAUGGUGGAAUUGUACACCUUGGGAUUUCUGACUUUGGUUCAAUCCUCGCAGUCGGACGUAGGUUAGCAUGUCACGUUUCGGCGUGGCAAGGGGUACUCACCUUCCCGUGGGGCUCCGCACUGCGCGUCGGCGACAACCGUCAUCCUUCUCUCGCUUCCAGUUGCCGAGGCCGUCAAUCUUGGCGGUCUCAGAGAGAGGGACUCGGGGUUAACGUGUCCCGGUUAUUAUCGAUCUUCGCGGGGUUUGUUUGCGCGUUCGGGCACGAGAGAAAUCCGUGUUCCUGGGCGUGUGGCAAAGUAGUUACGGGUUCCUUGUGGGCCUCGCCUUGACCGCUGAAGGGGAGUUUCAUCCAGCACAGCGAGGGCGACCCGUGAUGGAGGCGGCCGGGAUAGCACUAGUUCUCCGAGUACAAGUGCAGACUGGGUUGGCCCUGUGCCAAUCUUAACGGGCGGUGUCGCUGAUAAUUACCCACCAGUAAAGGUACGUUGCUUGCAGCGUGGGGUGUACAAAACUAUUUU
rnacentral:SRP_RNA from 15 species